CCUCACCCAUACCCAGUCUCACACACACACCACAUACCCUCACCCAUACCCAGUCUCACACACACACACCACACACAGUCACAUACACACCACACCCCCCCACCUCAUACAGUCUCAUAUACAUACACACACCACACAUAUAAUCACACACCACACACCCCCACCCAUGCAGUAUCACAUACACCACACACCUAGUUACACACAUACCACACACACCCCCCACCAUACACAGUCUUACAUACACAUAUACACACUACACAUGUAGUCACACACACCACACCCCCAACCCAUACACAGUCUCAUACACAUACACACACCACACAAUCACACACACCACACACACCCUCCCAUACACAGUCUCAUACACACACACACCACACACCUAGUCACACAUAUACCACACACACCCCCACCCAUACAGUCUCUCACACACACACACACCACACAGUCACACAAACCUCCCCACAACAGUCUCACACACACACCAUACACCUCCACCCCCACAGCCUCAUAUCCACGCACCACGCAGUCUCACACACACCACACAUAUCACACACUCCCAUCCCCACAGUCUCAUGUACACAUAUACACCCCACACACAUAGUCACACACACCACACACAGUCACACACACACCUCCCCCGACAGUCUUACAUACACAGUCUCACACACACCACACACCCCCACCCACACAUUGAGUCUCUGGUACACAUAUAACCACACACACCACACCUACCCCCAACUCUCACAUAAGCCCACAGUCACACACAUACCUCCCACACACAGUUUCACAUAUAUAUAUGGUGACACACACACAUUGCACAUAUACCCCUCAAAGUCUCUCUCUGUCUGACACACACACACACACACUCCUCAAGCACUUCAGUCCUAAGACACAGCUUCUUGCUCAGCCCCUGGACCAUUCAUACAGGGGUAUGGAAUCGAUCAAACAAGACACACAAUUAUCAAGGAUGGAGGAGGAAAAAAUUGAACUUUUGAC
rnacentral:lncRNA from 10 species